UGGGGAAUAUUGCACAAUGGAGGGAACUCUGAUGCAGCGACGCCGCGUGAGUGAUGAAGGAAUUCGUUUCGUAAAACUCUGUUCUAUGGGAAGAAAAGGACUGUACCAUAGGAGAAAGCUCCGGCUAAAUACGUGCCAGCAGCCGCGGUAAUACGUAUGGAGCGAGCGUUGUCCGGAAUUAUUGGGCGUAAAGGGUGCGCAGGCGGUAUGGUAAGUCUGUCUUAGAAGUGCGGGGCUUAACCCCGUGAGGGGACAGAGACUGUCAUACUGGAGUCUCGGAGAGGAAAGCGGAAUUCCUAGUGUAGCGGUGAAAUGCGUAGAGAUUAGGAAGAACACCGGUGGCGAAGGCGGCGUUCUGGACGAGCACUGACGCUGAGGCGCGAAAGCGUGGGGAGCGAACAGG
rnacentral:rRNA from 1 species